UGGUCUCCCCCGGGUUCACUUGCUCGAAUUGCUCGAAUCUGUCGAACACAAUACAAACGAGUAUUAUAGAUUAGCAUUUAAAUCGCAUAGGGUUUAUUGCACGAAGCAAAGAAGAUGAAGCUAACAGAAAUUUGGAAGAUCAAGGAGCUUUUUCCGGCUUAAGCAUUUAGAAAAAUCAGAGAGACAGAAGAUGCAUGGCGCACGUUGAUUAACGACAUCUUAAUUAAUCACCUGGUGAAUAAUUCCGGAAACCAGAUCAUCAGAGUGUAAUAGCUGCUGAGAAAGAGCACAGCAUAAAAGAGAAUCAAUUGAUACUUUUGUAUCGAGGAAGUUCAAGUAAUGUUACCGGAUAGGUUUCCGGAUCGGCGCCGGUGUUCCGCGAGUAAAUCCACUUGAACACCUCGAGGGCGGCGUCG